rnacentral:tRNA from 1 species
GUUAACGUAGCAAAACCUGGAANCUGCAAAAGACCUAAACCCUUUCCAUAGAGGUUCAAAUCCUCUCGUUAACU